rnacentral:tmRNA from 1 species
GUAAUGGUUUCGACAGGGAUCAUGAAGCUGGAGAAGCGAGUCGCAGGGGAUGCGUCAAAUUCCACAAUUAAAAUUAAACGCUGAAGAUAAUUUAGCAUACGCUGCCUAAUGGCAGCAGUCUGACCUAGAGCACUCACACUUUAGGACCCAGGCUUCGACUAUGUGAGAAACGACAUUAGCUAAGCUUUGCGCUAAUGGGCGUAUCAUGAAGCUACUGAAACCGUCAGGGUGUCUGUCCCCGGGCGGCAGAGGGAAUGUCAAAUGACAGCCUACACUCGUAGAAGGACAGGGGAUUGGUUUUUGGACACGGGUUCGACUCCCGUCUAGUCCACU